rnacentral:rRNA from 1 species
GUCUACAUCCAUACCACCCUGAACGUGCCUGAUCUUGUCUGAUCUCAGAAGCUAAGCAUGAUCAGACUGGAGAGAGUUUGGAGUUUUUCUGUGUUGUGUGGUUC